UGUUUGGCACAUUUCCUACACAGACACUUAAAAGACUGAAAGUCAACUGUAAAAUAGGUCUGCAGUAAGUUGUUAACAAACUAUGAUAGGUAAACUGAUCAGAUUUUUUUCUAUAUCUUUACUGAAGUCAUCAUCAUCUUUAGCAUGAGAUGUCAGCAAUGAGGCCACAGAGAGUGAAGAUUAAACCUAAAGAAGAGGCAGCAUAUUUUUCAUCCUUGGGCAAGGACGAGGAUGGAUUCAAUAUAAAAUAUAUUAAUUCAUUUAAAGGUCGAGGAGUGUUCAGUUGCCGCCACUUUCAGAAGGGAGACUUUCUUAUUGAAUAUCGAUUGGAAAUCAAACAGGAACAUGAAAACAGGCUAAGACUGUACCACGAUGCCCUGAAGGUUUUCAUGUUUGAAUUUCCCUACAAUGGGAAAAAACUAUGUAUUGAUGCAGCCAGAGAGGACGACUCUCUAGGGAGACUCGUCAACGAUGAUCAUGACAUCAGGCCAGGGGAAGAGAUAACCUACAACUAUGGAGAAUUCGGACUGGCCAUGGAGAUUAAAGGUUUCAACUGAAGCACAUCCUCACCAUGCAGCCUGGGCAUCUGACUGCACCAAAGAUGUUGAACAGCUUUUGGAUGAGAGAGAAUCUCCUGUCAUGUCCAGACAAGACACUUGUGAUGCUUGAAUAUUGCUCAGACAACAUUAAUCAGUGUGAAACCAGGCAGAGUCAAAUUCUCGGCUCCAGUUGGAUGAGACCAGCAGGAAACACAUGGGGAUUUCCCUCCCAGCCGUGAUGUCAGAGUAUAAACACUGGCGACGCUCCCAAACUGUGCUUCCAGUUGUUCGCAUAGCUAAUGAAAGGAAGUAACUCCUGUACGUACUUAACUGCAACCAGGCGGCACAAUCUCAACCUUGCUGGACGAGUAGAGCACAUUACCAGAUCUGAAGAAAACCGCUGUGCAACCCAACGCAGAAGAAGGAUGAAGGAUAACCUAUAUGCCUCACUUGCCUUUAAGUGAAUCGACUCCACUGUUUUCCUGCAACUCCACCGAGGAUCAGCUGCCAUGAACCCGCCGACAGAGUGAGAGGAACCAGAGGGACCAGAGGGACCAGAGAGACCGAGCCGGACCCGAAAGACAGACUGAGACACACCCUGCUGGCUUCCUAAAGCCACACGAGAGGCUGCGCAGAGAUGAGUUCAUUGUUGUUGUAGUUACUGUUGUUUACUGCUUGUUUGGUUGUGUUUACCACACUAAACUCAUCAGUGUUCAUCCAGCUGCUUGGAGCACUUUGUGUUCACUCAACGUCACGUGUGAGACAGUGGGUUGUAUUUUAUUUGUUGAAGUCAGAUGGCGGCCGGCGAAUAAAGAUGCACCCCACGUCUCUCUGGAAAUAAAAGCAAGCAGCGCUUUUCCUCACGAUAGCUGAGAUCUUUGUUGCUUCCAUCCACGCGCACACACACACACACACUCACACACACGCACA